rnacentral:rRNA from 1 species
UACGGGGGGGGCAAGCGUUGUUCGGAAUUACUGGGCGUAAAGGGCGCGUAGGCGGUUUGCUAAGUUGGACGUGAAAACUCUGGGCUUAACCCAGAGCCUGCAUCCAAAACUGGCAAGCUGGAGUUUUGGAGGGGGAAGCGGAAUUCCUGGUGUAGCAGUGAAAUGCGUAGAUAUCAGGAGGAACACCAGUGGCGAAGGCGGCGAUCUGGGUAGAUACUGACGCUGAGGUGCGAAAGCGUGGGGAGCAAACAGG